rnacentral:rRNA from 1 species
AUUGAACGCUGGCGGCAGGCCUAACACAUGCAAGUCGAGCGGCUGAACGGAGUUCGCUCUUGGAUCCAGCGGCGGACGGGUGAGUAAUGUCUCGGAACCUGCCUGGUAGUGGGGGAUAACGUACGGAAACGGGCGCUAAUACCGCAUAUGCUCUGAGGGGGAAAGCGGGGGAUCUUAGGACCUUACGCUGAUAGAUGAGCCGAUGUCAGAUUAGCUAGUUGGUGGGGUAAAGGCCUACCAAGGCGACGAUCCGUAACUGGUCUGAGAGGAUGAUCAGUCACACUGGAACUGAGACACGGUCCAGACUCCUACGGGAGGCAGCAGUGGGGAAUAUUGGACAAUGGGCGAAAUCCUGAUCCAGCCAUGCCGCGUGUGUGAAGAAGGUCUUCGGAUUGUAAAGCACUUUAGGUUGGGAAGAAAGCCAAUAAGUUAAUACCUUGCUUUUUUGACGUUACCAGAAGAAUAAGCACCGGCUAACUACGUG